rnacentral:tRNA from 4 species
GGCGGUGUAGCUCAGCUGGUUAGAGCACACGACUCAUAAUCGUGGAGUCGGCGGUUCAAGUCCGCCCACCGCCACCA